AGUGAACGCUGGCGGUAGGCCUAACACAUGCAAGUCGAACGGCAGCACAGGAGAGCUUGCCCUCUGGGUGGCGAGUGGCGGACGGGUGAGGAAUACAUCGGAAUCUACUCUGUCGUGGGGGAUAAGGUAGGGAAACUUACGCUAAUACCGCAUACGACCUACGGGUGAAAGCAGGGGAUCUUCGGACCUUGCGCGAUUGAAUGAGGCGAUGUCGGAUUAGCUAGUUGGCGGGGUAAAGGCCCACCAAGGCGACGAUCCGUAGCUGGUCUGAGAGGAUGAUCAGCCACACUGGAACUGAGACACGGUCCAGACUCCUACGGGAGGCAGCAGUGGGGAAUAUUGGACGAUGGGCGCAAGCCUGAUCCAGCCAUACCGCGUGGGUGAAGAAGGCCUUCGGGUUGUAAAGCCCCUUUGUUGGGAAAGAAAUCCAGCUGGCUAAUACCCGGUUGGGAUGACGGUACCCAAAGAAUAAGCACCGGCUAACUUCGUGCCAGCCGCCGCAGUAA
rnacentral:rRNA from 1 species